rfam:Gossypium hirsutum cultivar TM-1 chromosome 16, whole genome shotgun sequence
AAUCCAUGCAUCAGAGAUAUUUGAAGUAAUUCUUUAAAUCGUUCCCAAGCAUUAUAUAUCGUUUCACCCUCCGAUUGCAGAAAAGAUGUGAUGUCAUUUCUAAGCUU